rnacentral:rRNA from 1 species
AACGAACGCUGGCGGCAGGCUUAACACAUGCAAGUCGAGCGCCCCGCAAGGGGAGCGGCAGACGGGUGAGUAACGCGUGGGAAUCUACCGUACCCUACGGAAUAGCUCCGGGAAACUGGAAUUAAUACCGUAUACGCCCUACGGGGGAAAGAUUUAUCGGGGUAUGAUGAGCCCGCGUUGGAUUAGCUAGUUGGUGGGGUAAAAGCCUACCAAGGCGACGAUCCAUAGCUGGUCUGAGAGGAUGAUCAGCCGCAUUGGGACUGAGACACGGCCCAAACUCCUACGGGAGGCAGCAGUGGGGAAUAUUGGACAAUGGGCGCAAGCCUGAUCCAGCCAUGCCGCGUGAGUGAUGAAGGUCUUAGGAUUGUAAAGCUCUUUCACCGAUGAAGAUAAUGACGGUAGUCGGAGAAGAAGCCCCGGCUAACUUCGUGCCAGCCGCCGCGGUAACAC